GACGAACGCUGGCGGCGUGCCUAAUACAUGCAAGUUGAGCGAUGAAGAUUGGUGCUUGCCCCAAUUUGAAGAGCAGCGAACGGGUGAGUAACGCGUGGGGAAUCUGCCUUUGAGCGGGGGACAACAUUUGGAAACGAAUGCUAAUACCGCAUAACAACUUUAAACAUAAGUUUUAAGUUUGAAAGAUGCAAUUGCAUCACUCAAAGAUGAUCCCGCGUUGUAUUAGCUAGUUGGUGAGGUAAAGGCUCACCAAGGCGAUGAUACAUAGCCGACCCGAGAGGGUGAUCGGCCACAUUGGGACUGAGACACGGCCCAAACUCCUACGGGAGGCAGCAGUAGGGAAUCUUCGGCAAUGGACGAAAGUCUGACCGAGCAACGCCGCGUGAGUGAAGAAGGUUUUCGGAUCGUAAAACUCUGUUGGUAGAGAAGAACGUUGGUGAGAGUGGAAAGCUCAUCAAGUGACGGUAACUACCCAGAAAGGGACGGCUAACUACGUG
rnacentral:rRNA from 1 species